GCCGGCGUAGCUCAGUGGCAGAGCGAGGGACUCAUAAACCCUAGGUCGCAGGUUCGAUCCCUGCCGUCGGCA
rnacentral:tRNA from 1 species